rnacentral:rRNA from 1 species
GGUAGUCCACGCCGUAAACGAUGAGUACUAAACGUUGGGUAAAACCAGUGUUGAAGUUAACACAUUAAGUACUCCGCCUGAGUAGUACGUACGCAAGUAUGAAACUUAAAGGAAUUGACGGGACUCCGCACAAGCGGUGGAUCAUGUUGUUUAAUUCGAAGGUACCCGAAAAACCUCACCAGGUCUUGACAUGCUUCUGCAAAGCUGUAGAAACACAGUGGAGGUUAUCAGUUGCACAGGUGGUGCAUGGUUGUCGUCAGCUCGUGUCGUGAGAUGUUGGGUUAAGUCCCGCAACGAGCGCAACCCUUAUUGUUAGUUACCAGCACGUAAUGGUGGGGACUUUAGCAAGACUGCCAGUGAUAAAUUGGAGGAAGGUGGGGACAACGUCAAAUCAUCAUGCCCCUUAUGACCUGGGCUACAGACGUGAUACAAUGGCUGUUACGGAGGGUAGCUGAAGCGCAAGUUUUUGGCGGAUCUCAAAAAAACAGUCUCAGUUCGGAUUGAAGUCUGCAACUCGACUUCAUGAAGUUGGAAUCGCUAGUAAUCGCGAAUCAGCAUGUCGCGGUGAAUACGUUCUCGGGGUUUGUACACACCGCCCGCCAAACCACGAAAGUUGGCAAUACCCAAAGCCGGUGGCCUAACUUCGCAAGAAGAGGGAACCGUCUAAGGUAGGGUCGAUGAUUGGGGUUAAGUCGUAACAAGGUAUCCCUACCGGAAGGUGGGGAUGGAUCA